rnacentral:rRNA from 1 species
UACGUAGGGGGCGAGCGUUGUCCGGAAUUAUUGGGCGUAAAGAGCUCGUAGGCGGUCUGUUGCGUCGGCUGUGAAAACCCGGGGCUCAACCCCGGGCCUGCAGCCGAUACGGGCAGACUAGAGUUCGGCAGGGGAGACUGGAAUUCCUGGUGUAGCGGUGAAAUGCGCAGAUAUCAGGAGGAACACCGGUGGCGAAGGCGGGUCUCUGGGCCGAUACUGACGCUGAGGAGCGAAAGCGUGGGGAGCGAACAGG